GUUUACGAAUUCGCCCUUUUUUGGAGAAGUCAUAACAAGGUUUCUGUUGUUGAACCUGCGAAAGGAUCAUUG
rnacentral:rRNA from 1 species